rnacentral:rRNA from 1 species
GAUGAACGCUGGCGGCGUGCCUAACACAUGCAAGUCGAACGGAACUAUUUUGGAAACUCCUUCGGGAGCGGAAUCUUUAGUUUAGUGGCGGACGGGUGAGUAACGCGUGAGCAAUCUGCCUUUAAGAGGGGGAUAACAGUCGGAAACGGCUGCUAAUACCGCAUAAAGCAUUGAAUUCGCAUGUUUUCGAUGCCAAAGGAGCAAUCCGCUUUUAGAUGAGCUCGCGUCUGAUUAGCUAGUUGGCGGGGUAACGGCCCACCAAGGCGACGAUCAGUAGCCGGACUGAGAGGGUGAACGGCCACAUUGGGACUGAGACACGGCCCAGACUCCUACGGGAGGCAGCAGUGGGGAAUAUUGCGUAAUGGGGGAAACCCUGACGCAGCAACGCCGCGUGAUUGAAGAAGGCCUUCGGGUUGUAAAGAUCUUUAAUUCGGGACGAAUUUUGACGGUACCGAAAGAAUAAGCUCCGGCUAACUACGUGCCAGCCGCCGCGGUAA